CCGCCCAGCGCUUCCUGCGGGUUUAGCAGUUACUCAGAGUUAGAAAGAUGGAUUGUUUUGUGCCUUUACCAUUUUACCCGGAUUCUCUGACCUGACAGAUUGAGAAACACGACACUUAAGAAGCACCAGCUAUUUUUCAAGCAUUGGAGAACAGAGAUGAACAAAUGCUGGCCCUCAGGAACAUAUCAGGAAAGAGAUCUGACACCACACAAACUCCUCCUCCUCCAUCCCCUGUACCCAGCUAGUCACCUCAACAGUAUCUUUAGGUCUUUGGAUGGAGAUGACUUUAGACUGCCAAGAAAAGGCAUAGCUCUCCUUAUUCUGAGGAAUGCAGUCAUGGUGAAGACAGAAACUGUUUGCAUUAGCUGAUGAAAUCCAGAACUUGAUGGAACACCACAGACCUUAUGUUGGAGGAGGGUAAGGAUCUUGCGGGAUCUGACUGGAUACCCAGCGGAUUGAUGUUGUAUCUCAGAAACUGAACUACUGCUU